CUUAAACCGGCACAGAGUGACCGCGGGACAGGAUGUUCACGCCUGGAAGGAUGGGGCGGAGCGUCCAGCUCCCGGGGCCGCCCUCAGCGGACUGCAGGGUAACGGGAAGGCUCCCGAGUACCGCUCCGAGGGGCCCGCCCGUUUAACACGCCGCCCAAAUGGUUCCUGUAGGUGGACAGGUCUGACUGCGGGCCGGCGCAUGUGAGGGGUUCUCCCAAGCGCCUGGGGGUCCCAGAAGGCUUCAGGGAGCAGCCUUCCUGGGUAACCGUGCCCCCACGUGUGUCUCCGCCGCAGAAGGUGUCAGCGCGGGAAGCAGGAACGGGCGUGGGAGACGCAGCGAGCGGGGCACAGAAGAGCCUGGAGGAGAGGCGAGAGGCCCGGAGGCUGCGGGGAGGCGCCGGCUUUCCUGGACCCCAGCAACGUCUCCCCUGCCCCCAGCCGGAAUGACCAAGCCAAAGCUGCCUUUUGGGGAGGAGGUUUUUGAAAACCACCCCUCAGCUCUGAAUAUCUCCACCACGGAUGGGCCACUGCCACAGGAUAUUCAAUCAUUAGUAAUGCAUCUAUUUGAGUAAAACACUGGGCCCAACGCACAUGCCUCCGGAAGGCGUCCUGCAGGGAAGUGUCCUCAGUGGGGUGGCUCAGACACGAAGAGCAGAGAAUUUACAACAGGCAUACUUACACUGAGGUCGGCUGAGUAAUGACCCUAAAGAUCUCCAGUCCCCAGUCCCUGGAACCCGUGGAUGUGACUUCAUAGAGCACAAGGGCUCUGAAGAUGUGGUUAAGGAGGCAGAGAUGGAAAGAGGAUUCUGGAUUAUGCAGGUGGGCCUAAUGUUGUCGGCCCCUGUGGGGGAUUUGACCAAAGAAGGCUAGGUGCCUGUGGCUUGAAGUCAGAGGAAAAGGGCCAGGAACCAUGGAGUGCGGUUCUAGAGUCUUGGGAAGCAUGGAGAACUGGCCCGCAGAGCCUCCGGAGGAAGCAGUCCCGCUGCCGUCAGCAUGAUCCUGAAGAUACUGUCUUCAAUUUUUUAAACUCCGUAAGCAUGUUUGGAUGGAAAUGACCUGGUGUCUUCAGUGCCCGAGCCUCCAGGUCUGUGCUGCCCGGUCAGCCUGCUGGGCCUCCGUGCUGGAUGCCUUACGUCCUUUGUGUGCCAGAUUGUAAAUGGCAGCUCAGAGCAAGCACAGCUUUGGAGCAGGACAGGGCCAAGACCUGAAGAAGGAGCUGGGUAUAUCUGGAGAAAGGGUCUUUACUUAUUUUUCUUUUCCCUGCUAAAGAAAAAUAAAUAAU